rnacentral:lncRNA from 1 species
GAUUCUGCCCACUAUGACAACAGGAAGCAAAGGUCAGAGGGACUGGCCGUAGGCACAUGUGAAGCUUUCUUGCCAAUCUUCAUUGAACUCACACUUCAAAAGUCAUGGUUUUCUCUUUGUUUUAUUGUAAUUUUCUGUUUUAUUAUAAAGAAGAUUGCAGAAAAGAGGCAGAAUAGGAGAGCUGAAAGACAAAAAAAGAGUAUCUAAACAACAGAGGACACAUACUGGAAUCUCUGGAGCUCAUCCCUUCAGAGGGCCCUUCCCAGAAGAACUGUAUCUCCACUUCCUCGGUUCUCUGGAAUAAAUUACAACCUUAUGACUCAUGAGUCCAAACAGGACAGUCUUUACGUCUACCCAUCUUAUGACUGAUGUGGCUCUCAAGGAACAAUAAAACCUAAGCAAAUUAUGGGAACAAGCAUUUAUCAACCACGCAAAUGAAGCCAUUCUUUGUAUGUAUUAUGCAUCUCAAUCUCCAUAUAUGGUUAUCAACGUAAUAAUUCAAGUAAAGAGUUUUUCUACACCAGGAGUUCCAAAAUCAAGCUACAUUCAAAGAGAGAAACAACACAUUGGAUACUCAAGUUAUGAACCGUGAGAAGAGUCAGAAAUUCCUUAUAGGAUAGAACAUGUGCAAUUGAAAUCUAAUAUUAAGUUUUCUGUGGAAAAACACAUAUAUGUGUACUAUAUGGCUAUCUGAUCAUUUUAAAAACAUACUCAGAAUACUUUAAUAAAACACUGUGAGUAUGAAUUAUCUAUGCUUUAAACACUUUACUUCUCUUUCUGCAUUUAUGCCAUCACUUCUUAUCUCUUCAUACCUUGAACUUUUUCUUUUCCCCCUCUCUCACUCUAUGACUCCUGAACAAAACUGUCAUUUCCAAUAUCUAACUUCAUUAACUAAGUAGGGAUGGCAGAUGUUUAUUAUCACCAAAAUGCAGCAUAACAUUUGCAAACUGGUUUAUGACAUGCAUCUUUAUAAAGUGCUCAGUGAAAUGCAUAAACGAUUGAUUGAAAAUUGGUCAAAGAGAAUAUUGAGUACUUUAUUAGUUACUGGCUAAAGCUAAGGAGUUACAGAAAAGCAUCAUAUCUAAAUAAGGAGUUUUAUUUGAAAUAUGUAAUUUCAUUAUGAAUAAAUUCCAUAAAAUAAACUAAGAAUUGCUAAAUGAUUUCUGUAAACUGAUUGGUGCUGUAGAAUGAUCCCAUAACCUGGGCCCCUGACUCCUUCUUUCCUUUCUUCCUUCAUUCCUUCUUCUCUUCCUUUAUCCCUCCUUUAUUUAAAGGGUACUCAGAGUGGAGCAAGAUGGUGGAAUAGAAGGCUCCACCAAUCGCUGCACAUUACCCCCAGCAAGGACACCAAUUUAACAACUAUCUACACAGAAAAAAACACCCAUAUAAGAACCGAAA